GCCUGGGAAGCCGACGUGGGGAGCUUGGGAUGAGGAUGUGGAGCCCUCGCCUGAUUGAUGGGAGGAAAAGCAAGUCUCUGGGGCCUGUCUGGGGCCUCAGGUGUGAGUCAGGUGUGGCUUUGAUCUGCUGUCACCUGUCCCUGGGAGGAAGACCUGCCAUUGAAAGGAAGAGCUCUGCAGCAGUUUGUGUUACUGGGCCAGCCUCCCUUCCAUCCUCUCCCGCACCGGGUCCAACACAGGCCCAGGCUGGAUGUCUGUCCUUCACAGUGCCCUCUCUGGCCCAGAGCAUGUCAAUGGACGUGUUGGCAUCCCUUCCCCUGCCCCUCUAACAGAUGCCUCGGGGAUCAGUCCUCAUCUCGGCUUGCCAAAGAGGCCAUCGCCCAAUUCAUAAAGACACAGUAGGGAAAGGGUGGAUAGAAAACUCAAGAUGGUGGAGAAGGAACCCCGGGAAAAGAGAGGAAGGAACAGAGGGAAUGGAAGAA
rnacentral:lncRNA from 1 species